rnacentral:rRNA from 1 species
UACGUAGGUGGCAAGCGUUGUCCGGAAUUAUUGGGCGUAAAGCGCGCGCAGGCGGCCUUUUAAGUCUGAUGUGAAAGCCCACGGCUCAACCGUGGAAGGUCAUUGGAAACUGAAAGGCUUGAGUACAGAAGAGGAAAGCGGAAUUCCACGUGUAGCGGUGAAAUGCGUAGAGAUGUGGAGGAACACCAGUGGCGAAGGCGGCCUGCUGGGCUGUUGCUGACGCUGAGGCGCGACAGCGUGGGGAGCAAACAGG